CUCCCCCUCCUUCUCCUUAUUUUUUUUUGGGGGGGGGGAAUUACAUUAUUUGAAGCUUGCUGGCAAGAUUGCUGAAGUGUGAGCAGUCAUGGACAGAAGAAACAUCUUGAGAGGGAAAAGAUAAUUGGAGCCUUUUGUGCGUAUGUGCCUGUGUGUGUCUGUGUCUUCGUGUAACAGAAUUGCUAUCCCCCUUGAUUUGAGCAUUAUUAUUUUUUUAAUAUUUACGAGUUGCACUGGAGGAGAUAAUGAAUCGAGGGAAGAACCCAGGUUGUCAUCAUCGGGGAAAGGCUGAGAAGCAAGACCUGGAUCACAAAAUGUCACCCUAGUGUCCAUGGAGAAGAACAUGUUGCGUGCUGUGUCCCACGUCUCUGGUCCUCCCCCACUCUCCAUCCUGAUUUUAAGCUGAGAUCUGUGGAGCUGAAGAGGCUUCCUUAAAACCUCACUCGCAGAAUUCCAAACCUACCCAAUCUCAAAUGGACCAAGAAGAAGAAAACUUCCAUUGAUGCAACUCAGCCUAAAAUAGCAUAAAAUGUUUCUUCAGUUGGCCAGGAGAUUGCUUAUGUUCCUGACAAUGGAGAGCUGGACAACUAGACCAGAGAUCAAAUUUGACUCCAACCAGUGUCAACUAUGGACCAGAUGCAGAAGAAAAGAAACCCUGCCCAUCCCUAGCUUAGAAGAAUAUCUAAGAGGAUGUCUAAGCCGUUUUGGAGAUGUCUCCUCUAUGUGAAAUUCUAUUGUGCUCACACUAGUCUAUGCAUGAUUAAAACGGCCCAUUGUUUUCCCAGUUGUUGCUCAGUGUGAUGAGAUAGGCAUUUUUGCCUGAUCUGUCCUAUUAUGAUUGAAGUGUUGGCAUUCAGUUUGAGUUCCUGCAAUUAUAGCCCCAUGUGAAAUAUCACCUUACCAGGUGUAACGGAGACAAGGACCUGGUGUUAAAAAAAUACAGAAUGAAUUAUCCUUUUUUCAGACUUUCACGAGGCAGAAAAUGCUGUAGCAGCACCUCUUGGAAGUCUAAAAGGUUUCCCAAUGGAAGCUUCCAAAUCGCCAGCCAACUUUCCAGAUGCAAUACCCUGGCUUUAUUGCACUGAAUGGGAAUUUUGCCACCAAGCUAAGCUUGUUGUUCUGAUAAAAAUCCAUAUUUUUAUACCGAGGACUGCCUAGAAACUGGCAUUUUAUCCCUUAAAAUAAUCCGGGGGAUCAUGAGAGUUCCUUCUACAGAGUGAAAAAUACUCACAGGAAGAUGUUUUCUAAAAGUAUUUCGCACAUAAAAAUAUUUCCAGAUAUGUAUACGCACUUAUCGAUAUAUAUAAUGCACCGACUAACACAUUUGCUGGGGAAAGUUUUACUGCACGAUCAAAGUCUUUCAAAAUUUAAAGGUAAAUGUCGAGCUGUCAAACUUGGACUGCUGCAUCUUUUUAAAAAUAGCUGUGUAACAGCACUGAUCGUUCUUUUUCAGAAGGCUACCCUGGUAUGGCCCCAACCUAAUAGGAACUGUGAAAGUUGCCUUUGUACAGAACAGGUGGUGAGGUGUGCCUGGCUCUCCACAUGUUGUCCAACUAAGGGUAUAUUGCAAAAACCUAGAUAACCACUAGAGGGUAUCAAUGAAACAAAGAACAUCCCAACUAACUGCUGCCAUCUGCUGGUCAUCUGGGGAUUUGUAACCCAGAUACAGUAGCUAACCCUACUGUAGGUAAAGGACAAUUCUUAGCAGCCCAGCCAGUUUUAUUAAGGAUGAAGAAUAUCUACCAUUCACUAUCAUUAAGAUGGUCACGGGGACUUUGUUCCAAUAUAAAAAACUGAACAUCCUCCAGGAAUCAAAAAUUUAUAGAAGCUAUACUUCAAGAUGAACUAGCUGAAAACUUCUCAAUAAGUAUUUUGCCUGAUAGUGUAAUUUCCAAUCUUUCUGGAUGAGUACAGUGUGUGUGUGUGAGAGAGAGAGAGGGGCUCUUUCUCUAUUUAAAAUUAGCACCUUUGGGAAGAUAUAGUAACCUGUAUUUUGGUUAUGACUAAUAAGAAGUUAUUGAUUCUUAUGAUACCAUCUGCUGUAAGGAACAGUUGGAGAAGAGCUCUCUGUACACUGAGAAAGAACAAGUCCCAUUAAAUCAAAUACAACUUACUUUAGAGUAAAUAUAUUCAUAAUAGCAAGAGAGCUAAUAAAACCAAUAUUUUGGGUGGCUAUAUCCUUCAACACAAUUCCAAAAGCAUAAUCUAUCAAAUAAAACGUGAGUGGGUUUUUUUUUCUUUUGGGAAACAAAAGAAAGUCCUCUUUCUCAUUUACUUGAAGGGCAGGUAGAGUAACAAGGGAAUACCAGAGAUUUGAACCCAUAGAAGGAAUGAGUCUCAAGAUUCUAAAGCCAUUCUUAUGAAGAGAUCAAAGGAUGCUUUGAACAGGUUAAUGUUUCUCUUUCCAGAAGUUAAUGUCUCUUAUCCAACCAGGGUCACUUUGGAUGGUGAGGGAGGCAUCAUAUAAAUCAAAUCAACAGAUUCCAUCAAUAAAUGGACCCUUCUCAUGCUGGACAUAAUCUCAUGCUAUAGAGCACUGCACACCAGAACAACUAGACACAAAAACAGUUUCCCCCCUUCCCCCAAACACCAUCACACUGCUUAACAACUAAUUCCCUCAACAGUGUCAAACUAUUCACUAAGUCUGCAUGACUAUUACUAUUAGUCUUCUCAUCAUUCCUAUCACCCAUCUCCUCCCACUUAUGACUGCAUGGCUGUAACUUUGUUGGUUGUAUCCUUAUGAUUUAUAUUUAUAUUGAUUGUUUCAUGAUUGCUUAUUUGUACCCUAUGACUGUCAUUAAGUGUAGUACCUUAUGAUUCUUGAUGAAUGUGUCUUGUCUUUUUAAGUACAC